AUUGAACGCUGGCGGCAGGCCUAACACAUGCAAGUCGAACGAGUGGCGGACGGGUGAGUAAUGUCUGGGAAACUGCCCGAUGGAGGGGGAUAACUACUGGAAACGGUAGCUAAUACCGCAUACCAUCGGAUGUGCCCAGAUGGGAUUAUCCAGUCGGUGGGGUAACGGCUCCCCUAGGCGAAGAGCCCUAGCUGGUAUGCUAGGAUGACCAGCCACACUGGAACUGAGACACGGUCCAGACUCCUACGGGAGGCAGCAGUGGGGAAUAGUGCACAAUGGGCGCAAGCCUGAUGCAGCCAUGCCGCGUGUAUGAAGAAGGCCUUCGGGUUGUAAAGUACUUUCAGCGAGGAGGCGUUACUCGCAGAAGAAGCAUCGGCUAACUCCGUGCCAGCAGCCGCGGUAAUUC
rnacentral:rRNA from 1 species